UACGUAGGGUGCGAGCGUUAAUCGGAAUUACUGGGCGUAAAGCGUGCGCAGGCGGUUCGUUGUGUCGGCGGUGAAAGCCCCGGGCUUAACCUGGGAAUGGCCGUCGAAACUGGCGAACUGGAGUGUGGCAGAGGGGGGUGGAAUUCCGCGUGUAGCAGUGAAAUGCGUAGAGAUGCGGAGGAACACCGAUGGCGAAGGCAGCCCCCUGGGCCGACACUGACGCUCAGGCACGAAAGCGUGGGGAGCAAACAGG
rnacentral:rRNA from 1 species